rnacentral:lncRNA from 1 species
UCCAACCCAAAGCCUAAUAUUUGUUCGCAUAUAUAAACGGGCCGCAAAACCUAACCCACCCAAUGCCUCUCCCACCAGCCGCCGCCCACUCCCUCCUGGCUGCCUCUCUGCUCUAGUCAUAGCCAUCGCCCCAAAUCGGCUUUGGCCCUCGGCACGGAGGAGACCGAGGAUGGUGCAUCGCGCGUGGAGGAGGCUAGUGAGCAGCACCUCCACCCUAGAUGCCGCCCUAACCCCAGCCCUCGAUGUGUCUGGCCGUCGGCGUAGGGGACGGCAUGCUGCUCGUGGUGGUGCACGGAGAAGGCCGAUGGGCGGCACCCCACCUCGGCACGUUGUAGCUGUCCCUCGACAUGGAGGACGCCGGCACGCAGCGUGUGGAGGAGGCUAAGGACAGCUGGUGGCGAACUGAGGAGGAUGGCUGGAGGAGCACCAACGAGACAAGGAUGGCAUGCGGCAGGCAGGGAGAUCGGCACAGAUGUGAACAAGGAUCACCUGCAGGUGGAUGUGCAAUAGCAUCUGUGAUGCGGAAGUAGGUGAUUUAAUUUUUGUUUCAUAUAUGUCUGAAAUUAAUUAUGCAGAAAAAUUCAUUGUUGAAACCAGGGCUAUUUCUGUAGCUUAACUGUCUAGUUAUAGUUACCUAGUCCAUCUGCUACACUAUUUGGAUUUACCUUCACCCGUUAGUCACGAGCUAUUGAUACAGAGGAACAGAAGUAAUAAAAUAGCUGAAGUGCUAAAGCAAGGGUGCUAUGAAAACAAAUCAGUAAUCAUGUUAAUCAGUAACUGAUAAAGACGAAUUAGUAAUUUGUUGGAACCGUAUUCUUAUAUGCAGAACAAGGUGAUUUAAUUUGCCACAUAAAGUUUUAUAUUUUGAGGAUAUUAUUACUACCUAGAUAGGUUAACUAUUGUUCUUUUCUAGAGUUUAUUUGAUUGAUAAUGACACAUUACCUGUCUUGCAAGAUAUCAGCACUCUGGAUUCCAGAUAUGUAUAAAGCUAUCUAUCUAGAAGUGUAUGAACAUAUGAUCUUUCGCCUUUGAUUAUUGCAUACUAGUGAGUAAAGAUUUUUAUAUCACCAUUAGUCUAAUUUCAUCUCUGUUAUGUGCCCCUUGUACAAGCAAGAACUCUAUAUUUCUGUACUUAUGGGCUCCUGUUUUAUAUAAAUUUUAUACGUAUGUUGGUUCAUAUGCCAAUGAGUAUAGUCCAGGUAUAAUUUAAAGUACAAGUGAUUGCAAGAAAUAUGUUAUAAUGAAAUACUGCUAACACUCAGUUGUGUCUAGAGAUGCAACUUUCUCUCCUCACCAUAGCUCAUUUCUUCUGUCAUCUUGAAUGACUGUUCUUGCCUGUUGUUAUUAUUUACAGAAUCUUGUAGUACUAAUUAAUAAUUAACAUGUUAUAAUGACAUUCUGUUCUAGUGUGCUACAGCUGUAGGUCCUUGCACAUGCUUAACUGAAUGCAAGACAUUUGACAAUUUUACUGUAAUUUUUGCAAGUGCUGAUUGACAGUUUGUAGCACAGCAGCAGUUCUGUGGAACCUGUGGCUGCAUGUCAGCAUCACUAAAAGCAGGUAGUCAAGCAAGCAGGUCAUCAUCAACAUUCCGUAAAGGUGCAGUUCUAAUCCAGUCCUCGUAUUUGUGAAAUAUCCCUUUUGUUGGCUCAGUGUAUUUGCUAGCAUGGUUGGUUAGAGAGGCAAAAAUAAAAUAGAAAGCAGAGUAAGGUUAUAUUACAGAGAAAAUGAGUCCAUCAGUAUUUAUGUUGUCGAGGAAUUGCAGUUUACAGAAAGAAGGAAGAGACACUGUAUAGGAAGGUCCAAGAUGCAGGCUACAGAAUCGAAAGGUAUGUACUGCCUCCAGUAACUGCAGGUUAUUUUGUGUUGUCUAGGAACUACAGUUUUCUAUGUUCAGUAAAUCGUCAUCAUUGAUAGCUGUUGUUGCUACUAUCUAUUCUCUCCCUUAGCUGUCAGGUUACUUAGUUUCAAAAACUUCGUGUUAAAUAGGCAGUUUAGUGUGUUGUUCAUGGGAGCAGACUUUUAGUAAAUAAUCUGAAUUUUAGUUCAUAUCACAAAGAAGCUUGCUGUGUAGGGUAUUCUUCCUAAUGCAGCAUGCACCUGUUGCAAGCUAUCUCAAUUCUGCUAAAUCUUGUGUAUCUCAAUUCUAUAGAUCUACCCCUACCGCGCGUGCAGGGGCGCACGAAUUGCACCUGUUGCAGCACUAGUAUAGGUUCAGUGUCGUUGUGAAGGUUCAGAUCAAUGUCUUUAUUUCCUAUACUAUCCUUCACCUUUGUUAAUACUCUAAUACUUCUUCCUACAAGUUGAAGCUAUCUUUUGUAAAUUAUCUGCUCCAACUAUGUAAUUUGUUAUCCUGCUCUAAAGAUCCAAUUGUGAGUCAAGAAUGUGUCACUGCUUGGAGGGAUAUCUAUCUACACAGCUUUAAUUUUUUACUGUUCUGAAAUAAGUGUAGUUCCAGUUUUAAAAACGUUUCCUUAUUUUUAAUUUUGGGAUGUUACAAUUAAUUGGAGAUGUACCUUGGUAAGUUGAUUUAUUCUGGAAACAAUGCAUGAUGUUUUUACUAUUCUGAAAACAAUGCAUGAUGUUUGGUGUAGUGAGAUCAUAUAUGCAUAUAUUAUUAUAACAGCUGUUUUAUUUGUUCUGGCUUACAUAUGUAAAGUUCCUUUUUGACAUUUUCUGUUUCAACAAGUGAUGUUUGUUUCUGAUGUAUUUUCUACAGGAUAUGGAGAAAUUCCAGCAACCUAAGGUAUUCACUCAUGCUCCUGGCACCAAGAAGACCUAGCUGCCAGUACCUAUUUAACUAUUAGUUUGGUGACUAAGGUCACUUGUGAGAUAGGGAUAUGAGAUUUCAUUUAUUUAUUUCAUCUUAGAUGACUUUGUGACUAAGGUCACUUGUUGAACUAUAGUUUAGUGUUCAUGAUGGAAUGUAAUAAAUAUUUUGAUGAAUGACUUGGGAAUCUGUUGAUUUGUCCAUGAAUGCAAUAUAUUGUUGGACAGCAUAUGUUAAUGUGGAUUGUUUCAUGUGUGGGUGGGGUACGUGAUAGUAUGGAUCGAGCCAAAUCAAUGAGUCAUCCUACGUGAUAAGGCCUAAGAACCUAUGACAUAAAAGU